UAAAGGUAUUCCGGUAGACGAUGGGGAUGCGUUCCAUUAGAUAGUAGGCGGGGUAACGGCCCACCUAGUCUUCGAUGGAUAGGGGUUCUGAGAGGAAGGUCCCCCACAUUGGAACUGAGACACGGUCCAAACUCCUACGGGAGGCAGCAGUGAGGAAUAUUGGUCAAUGGGCGAGAGCCUGAACCAGCCAAGUAGCGUGAAGGAUGACUGCCCUAUGGGUUGUAAACUUCUUUUAUAAAGGAAUAAAGUCGGGUAUGGAUACCCGUUUGCAUGUACUUUAUGAAUAAGGAUCGGCUAACUCCGUGCCAGCAGCCGCGGUAAUACGGAGGAUCCGAGCGUUAUCCGGAUUUAUUGGGUUUAAAGGGAGCGUAGAUGGAUGUUUAAGUCAGUUGUGAAAGUUUGCGGCUCAACCGUAAAAUUGCAGCUGAUACUGGAUAUCUUGAGUGCAGUUGAGGCAGGCGGAAUUCGUGGUGUAGCGGUGAAAUGCUUAGAUAUCACGAAGAACUCCGAUUGCGAAGGCAGCCUGCUAAGCUGCAACUGACAUUGAGGCUCGAAAGUGUGGGUAUCAAACAGGAUUAGAUACCCUGGUAGUCCACACGGUAAACGAUGAAUACUCGCUGUUUGCGAUAUACUGCAA
rnacentral:rRNA from 1 species